GUUUCUCUAGACUUCAACACAACAUAUUCUUGAACAGAUCAAGAAACUUACAGAUUCACAAUUGAAAAACUCCAGGAAUAACUUGUUGGAAAGUGAUCUGACAAGUAUUUCAGGACUUCCUGUGGGCUGGAACCAGGGCUAUAUAUUAUGGUCAAUAGACAAGAGCCUUCAACGGAUCUCCCAACAUCUGGAAAAUGCAAG